UAAGGAAUAUUGGACAAUGGGCGCAAGCCUGAUCCAGCCAUGCCGCGUGAAGGAUGAAGGCCCUAUGGGUCGUAAACUUCUUUUAUACGGGAAAAAACCCCCCGACGUGUCGGGGGUUGAUGGUACUGUAAGAAUAAGGGUCGGCUAACUUCGUGCCAGCAGCCGCGGUAAUACGAAGGACCCGAGCGUUAUCCGGAUUUAUUGGGUUUAAAGGGUGCGUAGGCGGAUUGAUAAGUCAGUGGUGAAAGCCUCCCGCUUAACGGGAGAAUUGCCAUUGAUACUGUCAGUCUUGAGUAUGGUUGAGGUGGGCGGAAUGUGUCAUGUAGCGGUGAAAUGCUUAGAUAUGACACAGAACACCAAUUGCGAAGGCAGCUCGCUAAACCAUAACUGACGCUGAUGCACGAAAGCGUGGGUAGCAAACAGG
rnacentral:rRNA from 1 species